GAUAAACGCUGGCGGCGUGCUUAGCACAUGCAAGUCGAACGAAGUUUUUCCUUCGGGAGCAACUUAGUGGCGGACGGGUGAGUAGCGCGUGGGUAACCUGCCCUGUACAGGGGGACAACAGCUGGAAACGGCUGCUAAUACCGCAUAAGCCCUUAGCACUGCAUGGUGCAUAGGGAAAAGGAGCAAUCCGGUACAGGAUGGACCCGCGUCUGAUUAGCCAGUUGGCAGGGUAACGGCCUACCAAAGCGACGAUCAGUAGCCGAUCUGAGAGGAUGUACGGCCACAUUGGGACUGAGACACGGCCCAGACUCCUACGGGAGGCAGCAGUGGGGAAUAUUGCACAAUGGAGGAAACUCUGAUGCAGCGACGCCGCGUGAGUGAAGAAGUAUUUCGGUAUGUAAAGCUCUAUCAGCAGGGAAGAAAAUGACGGUACCUGACUAAGAAGCACCGGCUAAAUACGUG
rnacentral:rRNA from 1 species